UACGUAGGGUGCAAGCGUUGUCCGGAAUUAUUGGGCGUAAAGAGCUCGUAGGCGGUUCGUCGCGUCGGCUGUGAAAACCUGAGGCUCAACCUCAGGCCUGCAGUCGAUACGGGCGGACUUGAGUACUGCAGGGGAGACUGGAAUUCCUGGUGUAGCGGUGAAAUGCGCAGAUAUCAGGAGGAACACCGGUGGCGAAGGCGGGUCUCUGGGCAGUAACUGACGCUGAGGAGCGAAGGCCAGGGGAGCAAACGGG
rnacentral:rRNA from 1 species